GGAGAGGUGGCCGAGUCGGUCGAAGGCGGCUUCCUGCUAAGAAGUUGUUGUGCCCUUCGGGGCACCGUGGGUUCGAAUCCCACCCUCUCC
rnacentral:tRNA from 1 species